rnacentral:rRNA from 1 species
GUCCUAAGGUAGCGAAAUUCCUUGUCGGGUAAGUUCCGACCUGCACGAAUGGUGAAAUGAUUUGAGAGCUGUCUUGGCUGGAGACCUGGUGAAGUUGUAAUGCCGGUGAAGAUACCGGCUACCUGCAGUAGGACGGAAAGACCCCGUGGAGCUUUACUGUAGCUUGGCAUUGGGUUCUGGCAAUGUGUGUAUAGGAUAGUUGGGAGACUGUGAUGUGAUGGCGUCAGCCAUUGCUGAGUCGCUGUUGGAAUACCAACCAUAUGCUGUCGGAAUUCUAAUCUGGCAACGGAGACAGUGCUAGGUGGGCAGUUUGACUGGGGCGGUCGCCUCCCAAAGAGUAACGGAGGCGUUCAAAGGUUCCCUCAGGCUGGAUGGAAAUCAGCCUAAGAGUGCAAACGCAUAAGGGAGCUUGACUGCAAGACUGACGGGUCGAGCAGGUACGAAAGUAGGAGUUAGUGAUCCGGCGGUUCCGCAUGGAAGGACCGUCGCUCAACGGAUAAAAGCUACCCCGGGGAUAACAGGCUGAUACUUCCCAAGAGUCCAUAUCGACGGAAGUGUUUGGCACCUCGAUGUCGGCUCGUCUCAUCCUGGGGCUGGAGAAGGUCCCAAGGGUUGGGCUGUUCGCCCAUUAAAGAGGCACGCGAGCUGGGUUCAGAACGUCGUGAGACAGUUCGGUCCCUAUCCACUGCAGGCGCUUGAAUAUUGAAAAGAUCUGACCUUAGUACGAGAGGACCGGGUUGGACAGACCUCUGAUGUAUCAGUUGUCACGCCAGUGGCAUGGCUGAGUAGUCACGUCUGGUACGGAUAACCGCUGAAAGCAUCUAAGCGGGAAGCCGGCUUUGAGAUGAAUAUUCGUAGUAUCCAUAGAGAACAUAUGGUCGAUAGGCUAGGGGUGCAAGUGCAGCAAUGCAUUUAGCUGACUAGUACUAAUAUUACGUCUGCUUUUAAGA